UAGUCUACGCCGUAAACGAUGAAUGCUAACUGUGGGAUGGUUCGACCUUUCCGUAGUACAGUUAACACGUUAAGCAUUCCGCCUGGGGAGUACGAUCGCAAGAUUAAAACUCAAAGGAAUUGACGGGGACCCGCACGAAGCGGUGGAGCGUGUUGUUUAAUUGGACGCUAAGCCAAGAACCUUACCAGGGCUUGACAUCCUCCGAAGUUCGCUGAAAGGCGAAUGUGCUUUUAGAACGGAGUGACAGGUGCUGCAUGGCCGUCGUCAGCUCGUGUCGUGAGAUGUUGGGUUAAGUCCCUCAACGAGCGCAACCCUUAUGUUUAGUUGGAUUUUUUCUAAACAGACUGCCUCGGUAACGGGGAGGAAGGAGGGGAUGAUGUCAGGUCAGUAUUGGCCCUUAGCCCUGGGCUACAAACGCGCUACAAUGGGCCAGUACAAUGGGGAAGCCAAAUCGCGAGAUGGAGCAAACCCCACCAAAGCUAGGUCUCGAGUUCGGAUAGCAGGCUGAAACUCGCCUGCUUGAAG
rnacentral:rRNA from 1 species